GACGAACGCUGGCGGCGUGCCUAAUACAUGCAAGUUGAGCGCUGAAGGUUGGUACUUGUACCAACUGGAUGAGCAGCGAACGGGUGAGUAACGCGUGGGGAAUCUGCCUUUGAGCGGGGGACAACAUUUGGAAACGAAUGCUAAUACCGCAUAAAAACUUUAAACACAAGUUUUAAGUUUGAAAGAUGCAAUUGCAUCACUCAAAGAUGAUCCCGCGUUGUAUUAGCUAGUUGGUGAGGUAAAGGCCCACCAAGGCGAUGAUACAUAGCCGACCUGAGAGGGUGAUCGGCCACAAUGGGACUGGGACACGGCCCAAACCUCUACGGGAGGCAGCAGUAGGGAAUCUUCGGCAAUGGACGAAAGGCUGACCGAGCAACGCCGCGUGAGGUAAGAAGGUUUUCGGAUCGUAAAACUCUGUUGGUAGAGAAGAAAGUGGGUGAGAGUGGAAAGCUCAUCAAGUGACGGUAACUACCCAGAAAGGGACGGCUAACUACGUG
rnacentral:rRNA from 1 species